GAUGAACGCUGGCGGCGUGCCUAAUACAUGCAAGUCGAGCGAACGGACGAGAAGCUUGCUUCUCUGAUGUUAGCGGCGGACGGGUGAGUAACACGUGGAUAACCUACCUAUAAGACUGGGAUAACUUCGGGAAACCGUAGCUAAUACCGGAUAAUAUUUUGAACCGCAUGGUUCAAAAGUUAAAGACGGUCUUGCUGUCACUUAUAGAUGGAUCCGCGCUGCAUUAGCUAGUUGGUAAGGUAACGGCUUACCAAGGCAACGAUGCAUAGCCGACCUGAGAGGGUGAUCGGCCACACUGGAACUGAGACACGGUCCAGACUCCUACGGGAGGCAGCAGUAGGGAAUCUUCCGCAAUGGGCGAAAGCCUGACGGAGCAACGCCGCGUGAGUGAUGAAGGUCUUCGGAUCGUAAAACUCUGUUAUUAGGGAAGAACAUAUGUGUAAGUAACUGUGCACAUCGUGACGGUACCUAAUCAGAAAGCCACGGCUAACUACGUG
rnacentral:rRNA from 1 species